rnacentral:rRNA from 1 species
UACAGAGGGUGCAAGCGUUAAUCGGAAUUACUGGGCGUAAAGCGUGCGUAGACGGUUAUGUAAGUCAGAUGUGAAAGCCCCGGGCUCAACCUGGGAAUUGCAUUUGAGACUGCAUAGCUAGGGUGCGGAAGAGGGAAGCGGAAUUUCCGGUGUAGAGGUGAAAUUCGUAGAUAUUAGGAAGAACACCAGUGGCGAAGGCGGCUCACUGGUCCGGUACUGACGCUGAGGUGCGAAAGCGUGGGGAGCAAACAGG